AUUGAACGCUGGCGGCAGGCCUAACACAUGCAAGUCGAGCGGAUGAAGGGAGCUUGCUCCUGGAUUCAGCGGCGGACGGGUGAGUAAUGCCUAGGAAUCUGCCUGGUAGUGGGGGAUAACGUCCGGAAACGGGCGCUAAUACCGCAUACGUCCUGAGGGAGAAAGUGGGGGAUCUUCGGACCUCACGCUAUCAGAUGAGCCUAGGUCGGAUUAGCUAGUUGGUGGGGUAAAGGCCUACCAAGGCGACGAUCCGUAACUGGUCUAAGAGGAUGAUCAGUCACACUGGAACUGAGACACGGUCCAGACUCCUACGGGAGGCAGCAGUGGGGAAUAUUGGACAAUGGGCGAAAGCCUGAUCCAGCCAUGCCGCGUGUGUGAAGAAGGUCUUCGGAUUGUAAAGCACUUUAAGUUGGGAGGAAGGGCAGUAAGUUAAUACCUUGCUGUUUUGACGUGACCAACAGAAUAAGCACCGGCUAACUUCGU
rnacentral:rRNA from 1 species